UAUGAUGGGGUUCCUGCUGCUUACACAACUUAUACAAUAUGAGUGGCCUUCAUCAGAUUGUUUUCUGGAAGUUUCUCCAUGUAUGAUACACUGCUGCAAAGAAGAGUGUUGACUGGUGAACUACUGCUUUGGAGGAUGAGUCUUUUUACAGCAGACAUAAAGACAAGUGAUUGUGGGAAAAGCACAGGUAUUGCUAAUAACACUAACGAUGUCUCCAUACAAUGCAAGUCUCCCAAUCAGCCCUGACACUGAGAGCCUGCUCCAAAAGCUGUCCGUAUGCCUGUCAAAAGAGCAACAAGCAGAACCAUCAAACUUCAACUUUUCUCGAAAAGACACAGUUGUUGCAGUAGGAGGUAUUCACCCCCUUGGGCUUAUAUGAUGUGAAACCUGCGGGGACUCCUCUGAGUGAUCAGCGGUCAAAACAUACUCACUGAUAAGGGUCCUGGGUCACCAAGCUGAAUCACUCAACUGGGCUGCUUCAAGCUAAGGCCAAUCAGUGAACCAGCAGAGUUAAUGUGUGAUGUUUCGCUUCACUGCCAUGCAAUUGGUGGUCUCCCCUUCCCUACCCUCCUACACUUAAUGUUUGAUUUUCUCGCUUCUUCACAUCCAUUGUGUCACAUGAAACCCCGCAUGUGCCUGCAUCAGAGCUUUCACUGUCACUCAAUGUACGUGCUUGUACAAGUUCAACGUGCGGCCAAGAAAAUACCACCAACAGGAGGAUUUCUCACAAACAGAUAUCCAGAGAAAUCCAGCACGUAGGCUUUCACAGUCACCCUACAAUCAUCCAAGACUGUCACAGCUCCCAUUGAUGGUGUAAGCUUGAGAUAACAGUAAACUGUCUGGGAUUGUGGUUGGCGGUAAGGGGAGUGUCCACUAACUGUAGCUGAGUCAACUCUUGCUAAGUGGGAUGAGUGGCAGAGGAUGGGUGGAACGAGAGACUUGGACCAGCUGUUUUCCAUAUGGAUACCGCAUAGGUCUGGACCCUGAGGAUGAUCCUUACCCAUCAUGACCUGGAAGUCAGUUCUGCUGUCGACAGCUCUUGGGAAUGAACAUGUCCGUCCCUUUCAUCUUGAUGUCUUCGUGAGAUUGGCAGCACCUUCUCAUCUCAUCAGCCUCAGUGAGUCAGCAACUGUUGCCUGCGGGGCAGAGUAAGCUGAUCCUGCAAGUUGCCAUGUUAGCCGAGGAGGAUUUCUCAUUAAUCAGUGAACUGUUUUUACAUUAAAGGUGAAAUUAUUGAAAUCUUCAUUGAUGACUCUAUAUAAUGUAAACGUCUUCCAGAUGCAGUCACCCCUCUGCUCGUUCAAACUUAACUUACUGGAAAGUGCCUUAGGAAAUGUCACAGAUACCUUCAGGAUGGUUAACCAUGAUAUAUCCCCCUCCCCCAAGUGGUCUGCCCACUGUUUCCAAUGCAAGUGCUCUCCAUUUGUCUCUGUGGAUCAAAUGUCCUAGCGACUGCUCUGUUGAUCUGCGAGCCUCCUUAUAAGGUCUGAGCAGAGAGAGCACAGCCUUGAGAGAGCCUUACCAGCCCUUUCCCUUUAUUUACACAGACUCUGGGUGCACACAAGCAUGAAAAAUCAACCCUAUCAGAGUUUCUUCACAAGCUACAGGAAUAUCUUCAUUGUGGAACACCCUAAAUGCAGCACAGCCAUGUGUUAUUCUUUGCAUGUACUCUCAAUUUGGUACCGGACAACAGACACACAGUGCAAAAAGUUUUAUUCAUUGCCAUUCCAUUAAAAAAGGUUGUAAAUAUACAUAUGAGUGUGGUUCAGUAUUUAACCAUGUAUGAAAUGUCUGAAAUAUUGCCAAACACUAUAGAACUCUUCCAUCUGUACGACUUAAAGGACUGAUUUAAUUUCAUACCCCUUAAAUUUAUAGAUUACAUUUGCAGAGGUCGUUACAGCACAGAUCAAAAUUCAUAUUGCAGCUAAUGCAGAAAUGACAGAGUUCCUCAUAGCAUGUGAAGCAGGAAUUUCCUGCGCUGGAGGGCUGUUAACCUGAAUCUCAGGGUUAAUCUGUCUGGAAAACGGUAAUAUGGCUUUUUUUCCUGCUUAGAUUUGGACAUGUGACCAGUUGAGUAAACAUGUAUUCAUUGAGGGCCUUGCAUGAACAGUACCUGCAUUCAGCUCAGCAGUCUCCCCUUGUACCUUUACCACUUGCUACAACAUAUGGUAACAU